UGUGUGUGUGUGUGUGUGUGUGUGUGUGUGUGUGUGUGUGUUUGUUUGUGAUAAGCACUGGAGACUGAUCGCAGGCAUGGUGCUAUUCUCAGAGUCUGGAUCUCUGGAAGAGGAGGGUGAAGGGAGAUACAGGCCGAAGGGGGGGGGGGGCAGAAAUGGUGGAAAGCUUCCCCAGGGAGGAGUGCUUUCCCUGGGGCGGUGUGGUCUAGAGCCAUGGGGGUCUUGACCGAUUUGAGCCCCCUGUUACUUCACUAGGGUCUGAAAGUACUUUUGACAUAGACAGACAGAUAAACGUAAGUUUGUACAUUUAGACAACGUUGUAAUGCACACCACUUAUUUUUGGUAACAGAAAAGUUCUUAAAGAUGUUGUGCUGCUGCUUGGUUUAACUUAAGUAUACUCAGUGGGAAGUGUCUUGCUGUAGACUGCUGUGUGUGUGUGUGUGUGUGUGUGUGUGUGUGUGUGUGUGUGUGUGUGUGUGUGUGUGUGUGUGUGUGUGUGUGUGUGUGUGUGUGUGUGUGUGUGUGUGUGUGUGUUUUAUGCUGUGUAGUCUCUAGAGUAGCGAGCGUUAAUAUACCAUCCCGGACUGACAAUGUUGACUUAAUAACCAUCUUUCAACCCGGUCAAGAAGAGCUAUGGAGAUGUUGGGGUGUUGCAGUCGUUUCGUUUCUUGUCUAUGUGAGGACAUCCAAGUCCGAGGCUGUCACUGAUGGUUUUGAUAUGCUGUUUCCCAAUAAGAUGGAAUGUGUGGUGUUGUAAAGUCCCUCUAGGUACCAAGAGUAGAGGGAGACUUUAGAUUCUAUCCUAGCCAAACCCCCUUGAUGUUGGACCAGUGCUGGUACUGCUAGAAUGUUGUGAGGAGGAGGAGGAGGAGGAGGGGGAACUGGACGAGGUGUUUGAGGUGGAGGGGAGCCCAGUGGGGUGUCUUUUGAAACCUUUAAGGAACCAGAACACAUGUUUACAGAUCAGAUGUGUUUCUUGCUCCGAGCUGGUUUCUAGAAGGUCAUCCACCAUGCAGAGAGAAAUCCCAUUCAAAGACUGUUGAAGCUUGAAGCUAACCUUUUAGCUCGAGGGUUGAGCCUGACAUUUCAAGUUCUUAAGCAAGUACUCUGCUAUAUUUCGAAUACUUUUCUUUUGCCCUUCCAGAAAUAGGUACUACAAGGAGGUGCUGAAUGUUUGUUUUUCUCCAGUUAUCAGUUAUUCCAUAACACUGCCACAGGUCAAGCUCUCCCUUUUUGAAGGUGUCUGGAUAUGAACUAGUAACCCUUAAUCUGACUACAAUGGACGUAGUCUCUGGAUGGAUGUCUAUUUUCUCGACAACCGUUUAUGCGAUCGACUUCAUCCUGAGCGGAUGUCCUCCCGAGGAAGUGCAGUUUUCAGGUGUCUGGAUUAUUACCGGAGGUCAAGCUAGUUUCCAUUUCGAACAGGCAAAGAUCGAACUGUCACUGCAUUAGUAAUUCUAAUAUAUUAAAAACUAGCUAGUAGCGAUGGUGUGAGAGAGAACCCCAGAAAGUGCCUUUCCUCUCCAAUGAAAUAAGUGAAGUAUUUUCUCUUGAGGACCUCGGAAUUAAACAACUUUUUAUUUGUAUCUUUUAUCUACAACACUGACUUCAUGCUUGCGCAUUUAAGGGUUACUACGCCGUCUCAGUGUGCCAAUGGGGAGUACCAGGUGGUGACUUACCGUUGCAUGUAUUUAGUGGUUUUCCUUCGGUGCUUGGCAGUGCGUUGAGUCUUGAACCAGUAGUUUGUCUCCAGUACAGAAGGAACCGUUCUGGUUUUACGACGAGAUGGAGAGAGCGGUCAUGAAGAACGAAGUAGUCUUUCAAAAAUCGGAGUAGAGCGAGAAUAGUUCUCCAAAGUAUUGUGGGAGUACUGUCUGGAACACGGACAAGCUCUCUGAGAACUGACUCUCCUUUGAGACUUUGCUCUUCUAAACUGCCCAAAGCCCAUGUCAGGGGUCUUAACUGUGCCUGGGCUAAUGGAAGAGCAGCAUUAGAGUCAGGAUAUUAAGUCAAGCUUUCAUUCAAAAUAAAUGUACUGAUUCAGAUUCGAUGAGAUGCAACAAGGAAAGGUUGUGCAAGUGGAACUAGCUGCUUGUGUUGGAGCUAGCAUUGUGGAGCCUGCAUACUGGCGCUAGUGUGAUGGUGCUAGCAUGGCAGAGGUAGCAUCGUUGGGCUAGAAUGGCAGGGCUAGCAUGUUGGAGCUAGCAUGGUAGACGUAGCAUGGUCGGGCUAGCAUGGUGGAGCUAGCACAUUGGAGAUCGCAUGGGUAGAGCUAGCAUGUUUGAGCUUGCACUGUACAGUCUGCACAGUAGCAAUAGUUCUGUGGGUACCUGUUCAGACACCAAAACUUUCUUUCCAGAGAUUUCUAAAACACUGCACCUCACGUACCUCGGUAUGCUGCAAAUGUUGACUGACCCAAAUAUUGCAAGUAUUGCUUUUACUAUUACUUAUAACGCUUGACUAAGGCUUGAUCAUAAUAUUAUUAUAGCUAUUUUAGAGGUAAAUAUCUUAUUUUGUCUUAUCCAAACUCAAAUGUCAUGCCCACUUUAUUUUGUUGUCCUAUUAAACUAAAUGUUCUAUAAAUAAAUGUUGACUAAAAAAAUAUCUCUAUAUAUAUAUAUAUAUAUAUAUAAAAUAUAUAUAUAUAUAUUUGAUGCUGUAUUUAUCGAGAGCUCUUUUAAGUGGGUGGAGUGUCUGUGGUGAGCAGGUAGGGCGCGUGUACACCCCAACCCUUCCUUCAUGAUGCCUUAACGACAGCACACUGAUAUGGAGGAGGUGCAGGGGGUGGGGGACGUUGGAGACCAGAGACCACAGACCCGGGGGGGGGGGGGGCAGCCCAAAGAUGAACAAAGACCAGAGAGGCUAGAAUAGACCAGGCCAGAGGAGUCGAUGGUGCCACCCUCCGCAUGGAGUCCCGGUUCUGUCUCUCUAUCUAGUCAUCCAUCAGACUCUUUUAUUCAAAAAACAGUGAAAAGUUUGAGCUACGUGUCAUUAAGGAGCAAGUGGGGGGGCUAGGGAAGCAUCUUGCUCAAGGACGACUACAGGUAGACUGCGGACAUUAGGAGAUCUAACCCAGAACCUUCCUGCCGGGAGUCGAACAUCCUCACCACUAGACUAUCCUCUCUUCAACGUUUACAUUCCAGGAGCCACUGUGAACCCAAUGCCGCUCCAGAGAUUAGCUUUCUGAUCUUCAAACGACAACCUUUGGACCUUCACCCCUCAAUACUUUUUCAAUGUUGCAAAGACUCUGUUACCCAGAAUGCUUCUGUUCUUCUCGCUUUUAGGUUGUCAGCCCUUGGCUGUUGCUUUGUGUCAUUCUCAAGUGCUUUCUUCACUGAAACUUGCAAUAAAAGCUUUGCUCUGUCUAGCA
ensembl:lncRNA